rnacentral:rRNA from 1 species
AGGGAAUUGUUCGCAAUGGGCGCAAGCCUGACGACGCAACGCCGCGUGGAGGAUGAAGGUCUUCGGAUUGUAAACUCCUGUCGUGUGGGACGAACACUUGUCGGACGAAUAGGCCGGCGAGCUGACGGUACCACGAAAGGAAGCCCCGGCUAACUCUGUGCCAGCAGCCGCGGUAAUACGUAGGGUGCGAGCGUUGUCCGGAAUUAUUGGGCGUAAAGAGCUCGUAGGCGGUGUGUCACGUCGGAUGUGAAAACCCGGGGCUUAACCCCGGGCCUGCAUUCGAUACGGGCUGACUAGAGUUCGGCAGGGGAGACUGGAAUUCCUGGUGUAGCGGUGAAAUGCGCAGAUAUCAGGAGGAACACCGGUGGCGAAGGCGGGUCUCUGGGCCGAUACUGACGCUGAGGAGCGAAAGCGUGGGGAGCGAAC